rnacentral:misc_RNA from 1 species
GAUGAAGAACGCAGCGAAAUGCGAUAAGUAAUGUGAAUUGCAGAAUUCAGUGAAUCAUCGAAUCUUUGAACGCACAUUGCGCCCGCCAGUAUUCUGGCGGGCAUGCCUGUCUGAGCGUCAUUUCAACCAUCAAGCCCCAGGCUUGUGUUGGGGACCUGCGGCUGCCGCAGGCCCUGAAAACCAGUGGCGGGCUCGCUAGUCACACCGAGCGUAGUAGCAUACACAUCGCUCAGGGCGUGCUGCGGGUUCCGGCCGUUAAACCCCUUUUUUACCCAAGGUUGACCUCGGAUCAGGUAGGAAGACCCGCUGAACUUAAGCAUAUCAAUAAGCGGAGGA